rnacentral:lncRNA from 1 species
GACGGUGGCACGGCUGGGUCGGAGGAGCCAGGAGCCAAGGCCCGUGGGCGUGGGUGGAAACCCAGCGCCAAGGCCAGGGGUGACAGAGCUGCUACCCUGGAGGAAGGGAACCCAACAGACGAAGUCCCCAGUACCCCCUUAGCCCUGGAGCCGAGCAGCACCCCAGGUUCCAAGAAGAGCCCCCCAGAGCCUGUGGACAAGCGAGCCAAGGCCCCCAAGAUGAGGACUCUUCCUGCAGCUCGGACGAUGAGGCAGCCCCCGCCCCCACGGCUGGCCCUUCUGCGCAGGCGGCGCUCCCCACCAAGGCCACCAAGCAGGCUGGCAAGGCGCGGCCCUCGGCCCACUCCCCAGGCAAGAAGACGCCCGCGCCCCAGCCCCAGGCGCCUCCUCCGCAGCCCACACAGCCUCUGCAGCCCAAGACUCAGGCUGGGGCCAAGAGCCGACCCAAGAAGAGAGAGGGCGUCCACCUCCCCACCACCAAGGAGCUGGCCAAGCGGCAGCGCCUGCCGUCCGUGGAGAACCGGCCCAAGAUUGCCGCCUUCCUGCCAGCCUGACAGCUCUGGAAGUGGUUCGGCAAG